CAUUUUUAAGGUCAUAUUACUCAUAAAUCAUAUUUAUUGCUUAUCUUUAGGUAUUAUAUAAUUUUUUUGUUCAUAAUCUCACUAGACACUAAUCUUUCAUAGUCUGUCACAUUGGAAAAACGUAUAUCGACAAUUGACCUACACACUUUAUCGGAUAGUGUUUCACUGUUUACUCAAAACCAAUACAGAGCCACUCAAACUGGAACGUAUGGCAACCCUAAACUAAUAAGUGAAAUAAAUGAAGAUGAAACACCAACACAAUCUGAAGAAUGACCACUUAUAACAGCAUCCAUGUUUAGAUUAUAUAUUUAUUUUAACUUAUUUUGACAGUCAAUAAGUUUAAAUUGCAUCAAAAUUAUUUGUAAUAAGUACUUAAAAGUACCUAAUGUUAUGUUUAUUCAUUGUGCCAUUUGUUUAUCGCAUGUAUAAUAGUAUUAAUAAUAUAUUGAAUUAUUUAGAUGGCAAACAUUUCAUGUGAUAUUAUGAUUUA